rnacentral:rRNA from 1 species
GAUGAACGCUGGCGGCGUGCCUAAUACAUGCAAGUAGAACGCUGAAGGAGGAGCUUGCUCUUCUGGAUGAGUUGCGAACGGGUGAGUAACGCGUAGGUAACCUGCCUGGUAGCGGGGGAUAACUAUUGGAAACGAUAGCUAAUACCGCAUGACAACAGUUAUUGCAUGAUAACUGUUUAAAAGGGGCAACUGCUCCACUACCAGAUGGACCUGCGUUGUAUUAGCUAGUUGGUGAGGUAACGGCUCACCAAGGCGACGAUACAUAGCCGACCUGAGAGGGUGAUCGGCCACACUGGGACUGGGACACGGCCCAGACUCCUACGGGAGGCAGCAGUAGGGAAUCUUCGGCAAUGGACGGAAGUCUGACCGAGCAACGCCGCGUGAGUGAAGAAGGGUUUCGGAUCGUAAAGCUCUGUUGUAAGAGAAGAACGAGUGUGAGAGUGGAAAGUUCACACUGUGACGGUAUCUUACCAGAAAGGGACGGCUAACUACGUG